UCCCUGGUGGCUCAGAGGUUAAAGCAUCUGCCUGCAAUGUGGGAGACCUGGGUUCUAUCCCUGGGUAGGGAA
rnacentral:tRNA from 1 species